rnacentral:tRNA from 1 species
GGAGGGGUGGCAGAGCGGUUGAAUGCGGCGGUCUUGAAAACCGUUGUGGCUUUACGGCUACCGUGGGUUCGAAUCCCACCCCCUCCG